CAACUUCCUGCUGAGCUUCCUGCAGCCCUUGCAGUGGGAACUCUCAGCGGAGAUGCUUUUCUCCACCUCAUACCACAUUCUCAGGGUCAUCACCAGCAUGGCCACUCUGAGCACCAUCACCACAGCGAAGAGGUGGAAGAGGAUUCCCUUCGGCCUGUGUGGAUAGGCCUCACAGCUCUGAGUGGAGUCUACAUCAUGUUCCUCAUCGAACACUUCCUGACCCUCGGCAAAAUGUACAAAGACAAAAAACAGAAGGUGCAGAAGAGGGUUGAUCUCGCCACAGAAGUUUUGGAAUCUGAGAAACUGCCAUCAUUAGAAGACAAUGACGUCAAAACAGUUAAUGCUGCUGAAACGAAUAGUGGAAGCGCAUGUGGGCGGGGCGUUGCAGAGGAAGAGGAGGUGAUGUUGGGGGGCGGAGCUCUACAGUGACAUGGAUUGUGAAAACAAAUGCCACUCCCACUUCCAUGACACUGUUGGCCAUUCAGAUGAGCAGCAUCAUCAUCACCAUGACUAUCACCACAUAUUGCAUCACCACCACUCCCAGAACCACCACCCGCACACACACACGCACAGACACACACACUCCUACUCGCUCCAGCACUUCCAGCAGGCUGACGUGGCCACACUCGCCUGGAUGGUCAUCAUGGGAGACGGUCUUCACAACUUCAGUGACGUACUUGCCAUAGGGGCAGCAUUCACAGAAGCUUUGUCCAGUGGUCUUAGUACCUCAGUUGCUGUGUUCUGCCAUGAGCUUGGUGAUUUUGCGGUCUUGCUGAAGGCGGGUAUGUCAGUACGACAGGCCA